rnacentral:rRNA from 1 species
UGCCAGCAGCCGCGGUAAUACGGAGGGUGCAAGCGUUAAUCGGAAUUACUGGGCGUAAAGCGCGCGUAGGCGGAAUGUUAAGUCUCAUGUGAAAGCCCUGGGCUCAACCUGGGAACUGCACCCAAUACUGCAGAGCUAGAGUAUGGUAGAGGGAAGUGGAAUUUCCGGUGUAGAGGUGAAAUGCGUAGAUAUCGGAAGGAACACCGGUGGCGAAGGCGACUUCCUGGGCCAAUACUGACGCUGAGGCGCGAAAGCGUGGGUAGCAAACAGGAUUAGAUA